CCCCCCGGUCCUCUCCUCGCUCAGAUGUAAAUCCACGUUGUUGAUACACAUCGAGCUCUCGAGUCGUGAUGCAUGGCAAAGAAAACACCUCUCCCUUAAACAGCUUAUUUGUAAUUUGAGAAAGGAAAUGAGAUUGGACCAGAGUGGUCGAGCUGUUUUGCCUGUCUGGUGUUGGUUUUCAUCUCUGUUGAGUUUGAUACUGAACCAUGUUAAUACCUGAUGACCCAACUCAGAACGGGGGUCCCAACUUCCCCUGAUACAGGGUCUCUGCUAUCGUUGCUUUAGCCUGAAUAGAGCUCGGGGAAACACUGCUCCCCCAGCCUUGACACAGAUUUCUGUUACACGGGUGAGGAUGAGCCCUUUUGGAGAUCAACCUCUGCUUGAACCUGUCUUCUCCCACAGACAUGGAGGACAGAGCAUCCUCUCUCCUGUAUGACCGUGACGUCCGCCCUCGUCCAUAGAUUAGUCUGGGUUAAGUAGCGAGAGAUGUACUUGUGCACGUAUGUAUGGGCACCCUCAUAUCCUCACGUCUCACCCUUCAGUUCCUCACGUCCCACAUCUCCCCCUUUCUCUCCCCCGUCCCUCUCCCGGCUGCCGCGCUGCAGACUGGAACGCUGACGUCAGCCGGAGGCCCCGGACAGGCCGGAGCAUGUUGGGAUGAGUCGGGCUCGCUGCACACAGACACCCCAUUUCUCUCCCUGUCUCUCUGACUAGAGGAACACAGGCGUGUUGAGGAACUCCUCUGUCUGUAAGAUGAGCUGCCAGAGGGCGGCUCCAAGACACUGACUGACAGACAGACCGGCCAUUUGAGUGACUGAUCUCUCAUAGAGUUCCUCGUGGUUUCCUGUGGGGUGUUGGCUUGGACGUGUUGGCUCUCAUCCUCUGUCCCUCUAGGUAUUAAUAUGAAAGCCUGGUGUACAUGAACCUGCACUUAUUGUCACUGUUUUGCAAAACCUCUGGUUUCCUUCAUAAUCAUUGAUCUUGAACCACCUUGAACCACUCAGUUUCCCAUCACAGCAACCUGUGUCUGUCAUGCCGUCUCUCCCUCUCCUUGUUUCGCCUCCCGCCAGGCCUUGUGUCAAACUUCUCACCAUUCACAUCUCUAAAUGUGGUAAAUAACAUCUCCCCGGCCCAUUCUGACCGGCGAUACGUAGGGCUCGGCCUGGGUUGAGCUCGACAUCUAUUAGACUUAAUGAGUGAAGUGUUGAGCCUUUGCAAUCAGACUGAGGGACAUCCUCAGACAACAGGCUUUAAAUCAGAGCUGCGCUUCAGAGCGAGCAGCUGUAAUGUCUGGUAGAUCUAUUUCUAUCUGUGUUCUGUAAUGGGAGCCGGCAGAGGGGGCAGGGAGGCCCCCCAGGGGUGGUAAACACAUUGUUAUCUGAGGAGAAAGGUGAGGCAGAGGGGAAGAAACGGGAGAUAUGUAAAUAGAUAGAAUAGUGUGAUAGAGAUGUGUGUGGAGAGAGACGGAGAGAGUGGGCGAAAGAGGCUGACAGAGAGGGGGACAGAGCGAGAAAGAAGAGAGAGAGUAGUAGUGGUUGUUUAUAUGGAGUGUUGGAGGGAGUCUGUUUGGUGUAAUGAAUAAGCCAAGUCACUACUGAAUAAUCUAUGGCUCACAUGGUGGGGAGCUUCCCCCGUGGAAGCUGAAAAUAGGAAGAGAGAACAGGGGGGAAACAGUGAAAGGUCUCAGCCACCUCCCUCCACAUCUCUCCAUCUAUUUCUCCAUCUAUCUAUUUCUCCAUCUAUUUCUCUUCAUUUGAGGUACUGUUGCACGUGCUGUAUGCAUGGAGCCGUGAGCUGUUAUGAAUGUUUAUUGCAGGUUAUAUAAUGCAUUGUAAGGUCUUAUAAUGCAUUGAUAGAAUUAACUAUAAAUUAUUUAAUAUCAUCCAUUAUAAACCAGUAGCUGAUAAGGGGCGUUACCUAAAUGUAUUUGCGUCAGAAAUAAUUCCUCUUAUUAUAAAAACAAUUCCUGGGAAUUCCUGGGUAAGACGGUAGGAUUUUACACAAGACACAGUUGAGAGGUUUUCAAAGCCGUUUAGAUGAAGGAGGAAAAAACUGUCUUCCUGCCAGCCGUGUUUUGAUGCAUGUAGGUUAUUGUGUAAGAACUACUUUAGGAGGGCUUUCUUUACUGUAAGCCAGGUGUGUCUGCACCAGAGUGCAUGUUGGCCCUUGUUUUGAUGCAGGUAGGUUAUUGUGUAAGAACUACUUUAGGAGGGCUUUCUUUACUGCAAGCCAGGUGUGUCUGCACCAGAGUGCAUGUUGGCCCUUGUUUUGAUGCAGGUAGGUUAUUGUGUAAGAACUACUUUAGGAGGGCUUUCUUUACUGUAAGCCAGGUGUGUCUGCACCAGAGUGCAUGUUGGCCCUUGUUUUGAUGCAGGUAGGUUAUUGUGUAAGAACUACUUUAGGAGGGCUUUCUUUACUGUAAGCCAGGUGUGUCUGCACCAGAGUGCAUGUUGGCCCUUGUUUUGAUGCAGGUAGGUUAUUGUGUAAGAACUACUUUAGGAGGGCUUUCUUUACUGUAAGCCAGGUGUGUCUGCACCAGAGUGCAUGUUGGCCCUUGUUUUGAUGCAGGUAGGUUAUUGUGUAAGAACUACUUUAGGAGGGCUUUCUUUACUGCAAGCCAGGUGUGUCUGCACCAGAGUGCAUGUUGGCCCUUGUUUUGAUGCAGGUAGGUUAUUGUGUAAGAACUACUUUAGGAGGGCUUUCUUUACUGCAAGCCAGGUGUGUCUGCACCAGAGUGCAUGUUGGCCCUUGUUUUGAUGCAGGUAGGUUAUUGUGUAAGAACUACUUUAGGAGGGCUUUCUUUACUGCAAGCCAGGUGUGUCUGCACCAGAGUGCAUGUUGGCCCUUGUUUUGAUGCAGGUAGGUUAUUGUAAGAACUACUUUAGGAGGGCUUUCUUUACUGCAAGCCAGGUGUGUCUGCACCAGAGUGCAUGUUGGCCCUUGUUUUGAUGCAGGUAGGUUAUUGUGUAAGAACUACUUUAGGAGGGCUUUCUUUACUGUAAGCCAGGUGUGUCUGCACCAGAGUGCAUGUUGGCCCUUGUUUUGAUGCAGGUAGGUUAUUGUGUAAGAACUACUUUAGGAGGGCUUUCUUUACUGCAAGCCAGGUGUGUCUGCACCAGAGUGCAUGUUGGCCCUUGUUUUGAUGCAGGUAGGUUAUUGUGUAAGAACUACUUUAGGAGGGCUUUCUUUACUGUAAGCCAGGUGUGUCUGCACCAGAGUGCAUGUUGGCCCUUGUUUUGAUGCAGGUAGGUUAUUGUGUAAGAACUACUUUAGGAGGGCUUUCUUUACUGC